AACCAUUUUGAUUUACACAUUAUUUGUAUUCCCAGAGUAGGCCUGGAAUUUCCAUUACAUCCUGUGAGAAUCCACUUCCAAAACAUAAUUAAAAAAUGAGAGUCAAGGAGUGUGGUCAUUUCACAAGGAGAUUUAUGGUUCAAACUUAAAACUAAAAAAAAAAAAAAAAAAAAAAAAGUUAAAUGCUUUAUUACCUUUUCAAACACAUGAAAAAGCAAUGUUUGUGAGGCAUAAGUUUUUUAUAUGUUUUAAUUAUUAUAAGACAGAAUGCUGGCGACAGAUAAAAAUGCAGUAUUAAAGUGUGUUUUAGGAUUCUUUUUCUUUAUGAAGUAAACCUUUUAGGCAGUAUAGGUCACAUUUAUAAAGGUUUCUCAACUGACAUUUGGCUUUGAACAUAAACCUUAAUUAUUACUAUUUUUUUUUUAAUUGAUAUGUUUCCUUUCAUUUAAAAUGCUGCAAAUUGCAUUUUGGCAUCAAGAGGAUGUUAAAUUAGUGUAUAUGUGCUUGUGGCUUAAAUAAAAUGAACUAGUCCAUUGCCUUGACUAUCCAGUCUUGUGUUAAUGCUUCACAGGAACUGGUGUAAGCAUUGACUAAGUCGAACUACAAAGCACCAAUGGUAGAGUAACAUGUUAUUUAUAUUAGCCUAAGCCAUGGUGAGUUCUGAUCAUGGACUGUAUUAAUCUUCAGUAUCUUAUCCAGUGUUGAUUAAAAUAGGCAUAGAGCUUGUUAUCAGAUGUUCAUAAAAAUGAACCACAGUGGUUAAAGCAUAAUUUAAAAACUCCUCAAAAGUACUUGUAUAUGGUGAUAAUGCAGAGUCUUAGAGCAGCAGGAUGUUGGCAAUUGUGUGAUCAUGUAAACAAGCAUUGGCCAUUUUAAUUGACAUUUUUUAAUCUAUUAUUUCCUGCUUAGGUUAUAACCUGGAUAACUAGAAAUGGAGAGUUUUGGUUCUGAUUUAGUCUUGCAUUGCCAAAUUAAACUUCACAAAGGUGUAUGUAAGAGACACUCUUCUGAAGAGAUCCAGUGCCAUUGACGACAUGACAUUCUUUCAGAAUUUUAAUCUGGACAGUGACCCUCCUCUCCUCCUGUGAGAGGGAUCACACACCCUGGCCCUGCUAAACCAGCUAAGUGUUAACUUUAAGAGCUUGCAACCAGCUGGUGGUGGUCAUGAAGGUCUAGUUCUUACAAAUGAAGGAUCCCUUGAAGAAUAGCGGAGGAAUGCCAUGCCACUGGCGGACAGUUUUCAAGUGUGUCUGUUACUCCCCCUGGGGUAUCAUAAACAACAGAACAAGUCCAAAUAUUUAUUCGAAGCCCCUUUCAUUUAGCAGAAAGACGCCUUAUUCAACAGAUCAUGUGCAUUGGAUUCUGAGAGAUCGCUCCACUUAUUUUAUUUAGUCGUUGUAUGCUAAACAAGGAGGGAUGUGUCUUCUAACCGGUGCGUUUCCUUUACAUCUACCAAUAAAAUAUUCAAAAUUCA